ensembl:misc_RNA 7SK 7SK RNA
GGAGGUGAGGGCGAUCAGGCUGCAACAUGUCACCCCAUUGACAACCAGGGUUGAUUCAGCUGAACUGGUUGGCUAGGAGGGUGGUCCCUUCCCUCACUGCUCCAUGUGUGCCCUUCUUGCUCAGUGAAGAGGACAGACUUCCCCAAAUAGAGAGGACUACUGGUCUUCAGUCAAGGGUAUAGAUUAGCUGCACUCCUCUGCUAGAACCUCCAUACAAACUCUCAAGGAAGUCCUGGGUUCAUACCCAAACCUUGCAAUUUAUGGGUUGUGUGACCUUGAGCAAGUCAUUUAGCUAUAUACAGGAUUUGGUCUUUUUGGUAAUGGAAAACCAACUGAGAUU